CCUACGGUGGGCUGCAGUGGGGAAUAUUGGGCAAUGGACGAAACUCUGACCCAGCAACGCCGCGUGAAGGAAGAAGGCUUUCGGGUUGUAAACUUCUUUUAAGAGGGCAGAGCAGAAGACGGUACCCCUUGAAUAAGCCACGGCUCACUACGUGCCAGCAGCCGCGGUAAUACGUAGGUGGUAAGCGUUGUCCGGAUUUAAUGGUUGUAAAGGUCGUGCAGCCGGAGAGACAAGUCAGAUGUGAAGUCCACGGGCUCAACACGUGAACUGCAUUUGAAACUGGUUCCCUUGAGUGUCGGAGAGGUAAUCGGAAGUCCUUGUGUAGCGGUGAAAUGCGUAGAUAUAAGGAAGAACACCAGUGGCGAAGGCGGAUUACUGGACGAUAACUGACGGUGAGGCGCGAAAGCGUGGGGAGCAAACAGGAUUAGAUACCCUUGUAGUC
rnacentral:rRNA from 1 species